UUGGUAGAAGCGUGGUAUGUCUGUCGAGUCGUUUGUGAUUACCAUCUUACAAAAUUGUUCGUGGGAGUCAAUAAAAUUGCUAGUUAAUAUCUUAAAAAGUGUCGUAAGAUCAACGUGAUGGUUAAAAGCAGCCAAUGGCUUUGACCGUUUAAAGGAAAAGUAAAAAACAGCCAUCUUGACAUGAAUAACAGCGAAGACGAAUUAGGAAGCUACAUUCAACACUUAAGAAAUCGGAAUUUUAUAAUGGUGUAAUUAACAUAGUUUUGUGUAUUCGAAUUGUGAAGAAUGUGAAGAUUCGAAAAACUCAAUGAAAAGGACCAGCACACAAAACAAAGAAUUGAAUUAACAUUCUAAAUUGCUGUGAAAAAAGCAUGAACUUUUAGAACUCUGGAUGCAGUUGAGAAUAAAGUUUAUUCUUAAAUAAAAUAUGUGGAAAAAGUUGUUGUUUAGCUACCGAAAUAUACAUUGCUAAAAUAAAAAAUACGUUCGUUUUAUUAACUGCUUU